CAGCAUUCGCUCGCUUCGCGCCGAUCGAAGGUCGACGGAAGGCAACCGAGUGCUUAU
rnacentral:precursor_RNA from 1 species